ACAACUAGAGAAAGCCUGCAUGCAGCAAAGAAGACCCACUGCAGCCAAAAAUAAAUAAAAAAAUAAUUUAAAAAAAAAGAUUGAUAUGUUAUCCUGUGAGGCUUGAUAGUAUUAUUUACUUUCUCCUGCUUUUAACUCACUCCUGCUUGGUUUGUAUACUGCCUAACUCUCCUUUAGGUUAUUUUUUUUCUCGUUUUUAAAAAAGUGAUGUUCUCUGGGAUUUCGUCUUUAGGACUCCUACUUUACAUAUCCGUUGCUUCAGAUAUUAGCUAUACUCUUAAAUCUAUAACACCAACCUAAAUCUCAUUUCUUCAGAUUUGUGUUUAAAAUUCUGUUCAUCAUUUUCCAACUCAUAUUUAAAAUUACUUUUCUUCCCUCCUCAGGGAAUGAAUGAUAUUAACAUACACUCAGUCCAGAAUUCUGUAAUUUAGCCUAGAUUUUCACAAUUUUCCUGGAGGCCUCCCUCUCUUUAUUCCAUUCUGACAACUCCAUGUGGUGGACUGCAAAAUAGCCAUAGUUCUCUAUCGCUCCUAGUACCCAUGUCCAUUGCAGUGUGACUUUGCAGUUCCUCCCGUCAGGAAUUCCAUCCGUGUUAGAAUUCCGCAAACCUGGAACUCCCCUUGUUUCUUGAUUUGCUAAAAAGAAUGUGGGUAAUGACAGUAUGCCAACUCAGGCUCUAGGCCUCAGAGCCUUGUAUACUUCCACCUACACUACUGGAAACCUACCUGGCUACCAUGUGAACAAACUUGGUCUUGUGGAGAAUGUGGAGUAGCGGUGAAGCCAUCCUAGACCAGCCAGCUCUCAGCCAACUGCAGUUACAUGAAUAAGCCCAGCCAGGCCCAGAAGGACUGCCCGGCUGAUCCCAGCCCAAAUUGCCAAUUGAGUAAAGCGUGCAAAUGCAAGACUCAGAGUGUGAAGAAAUGGUUGCACCCCGUAUAGUGGCCAAAGAAAUAGUAUUCAGAACAUCUAAGGAAUUCCUACAUAUCAAUGAGAAAGAUGUAAAAUCCAAUAGAAAAUAGGCAAAAAACUUAAACAAGAAAUUCACGAAUAGGAAACCCACAUGAUAAGUAAACAAAAAAUACCCUUUGCCUCAUCUGUAAUAGAGGAAUGCAAAUGCAAAUCACAAUGAUAUUGUAUUACACAACCUCCAGAUUAAAAUAAGGAAUUUGACGAAUAACAAGUGUUGUAAAAGAUAGGAAAUAAUGAAAACUCUCAUCCUACUUGUGGGAGUAUAAAUUAGUAUAACCUCUUUGGAAAACAUUUUAACAUUCUCUUACAAAUUUGAAGAUGUUUAUAGCCUAUACAUACUAUUACAUUAUAAUGUGGUGGUUGAUUACAGACUCUGCUGCCAACUAUAUGGAUUUGAAGCCCAUCUUUCUAGUUCUGUGAUCUCGAGCAUAUGACUUUAUACAUAAAAAGAGUAAGAUUCUGUCCUCCUACCCUGCCUCCAAGAAUCAAUUUUUGCCCUUGUGGGGAUUGAAUGAGUUAAUGCUCAGAACAGUUCCUGGAAACUAAACACUAUAAAGUGUUUGCUGAACUGCUCAGAACAGUUACUGGAAAAUAAACACUAUAAAAUGUUUGCUAUCAUUGUUAUUUGCUAGUACUGUUGUUAUUAAUAUUACUUUACCACCGACAAAAUCACGCCUUCAUAUGUACACUUGUGGAGGAUUAGGAUACUAUACAAGAAUGUUCAUGUAAGAAUGAUUUUAGCAGCUGCCAACUGGAAACAAACCUAAUGUCCUUCAACAGUAGAAUGGAUAAAAAGUUAUGGUAUAGUCAUAUAACAAUGAAACAAUGAACUCUAGCUUCUCAUAAUACUAACUGAAAGAAGUCAAAUACAAAUGAAUACAUAUGGUAUGAAUCCAUUUGUACAAAGUUCAAAAGCAGCCAGAAUGAAACAAAAUCGUAAGAGACGCAGAUAUUAGUGGUAAAAUUGUAAGGAAAUAACAGUCAUAAAAAUUGGAAGGAUGGUUAUUUCCAUGGGAGUGAACAAGGUUGUGACUGGUAAUGGACAUAUGAGGGUUUUCUGCGGUCCUGGGUGGCUAUGUUUUAUAUUUUGACUGGGUGAUGUUUAUGUGAAUGUUUAUCAUUAUUAUUCAAUUAUACAUGUAUAUUUUAAUACAUUCUUCUGUGUAUCUGGUAUACCUCAUUGAGUUUCAUUUUUUAAACUAGUAAAAACUUUGGGAGUGGGAAAGAUAGCUGUUGUUUAAACUAACAGCAAAGGAAAGAGAAAUAAUAAAAUAAAAAUCUCUAAAUAGACUGUCUGAAAGGCUUUUGGAGACGCUUGCUUAAGAUCAUAGGAAGAAAAAGAUAUCAACAACCUCUUGCCCUGCCCCACACACGGCAUAUUGGGACUUAUUUAAAGAGCAUUUUACCAUUGUGUAUGAUGUUGUAUCUUUAAAGAUACAGAUUACUGGGUGCCCACUCUGAAGAUUCUAUAUGGGAUAGGGCCUGGGCACUUAAGAGGGUUAGACAGUUUUUAAAAGCUCUCUAGGAAAUUUUGACGAAUUUCUGAGAUUGUUUUUAGUAAAGCAGUAGAACUCAAACAACAACCACCCAUGAUUAAAUAAAACAGGAAAAUAAUUAUUUUGUUUCAAUUAAGGAUCAACAACAAGUUUUCUUUCUUUUUAAUUAGCUCGCCUCUUUCUUUUAGCCUAAACAAACUCUCCACAAUUUUGAUGUAUUCAUAGCAUUUUAUGAACUUGGUCAGUAUGGUAAUGUAAGAACAUACCUGUUUGCGAGGGAAAAUAAAGGUAAUGUUACUUUUGUG